AGUGAACGCUGGCGGCGUGCCUAAUACAUGCAAGUCGAACGGAUUGGCUCCCGGGUGAGUAAUGUAUAGCUAAUCGUCCCUACACUAGAGGACAACAGUUGGAAACGACUGCUAAUACUCUAUAGUGUAGGAUGAGGCUAUAUUGUAUCAGCUAGUUGGUGAGGGAAUGGCUCACCAAGGGUAUGACGCCUAACUGGUCUGAGAGGAUGAUCAGACACACUGGAACUGAGACACGGUACAGAAUCCUACGGGAGGCAGCAGUAGGGAAUAGUGCACAAUGGGGGAAACGCUGAAGCAGCAACGCCGCGUGAAGGAUGACACUUUUCGGAGCGUAAACUCCUUUUGUUAGGGAAGCGGUACCUAACGAAUAAGCACCGGCUAACUCCGUGCCAGCAGCCGCGGUAAUAC
rnacentral:rRNA from 1 species